AUUUGCAUUUAACCCAUUGAUUUUAUUUUGUUUUCCCACCUGUAAUUCUUGAGUGUGGUGAACAGAACCUCAACACGGGCUCCUUGAGGAGCCGGCUUGCCGGCCUCCUGCCUCAGGACUAUGGGCCCUGCAAUAUACCUUGCCCAAUGUACUUUAAAAGGCUCUGUUCAUGUGAUUUAUGUACUUUCGUACUCCAGAAAGAGAGACUGACCGUUAGCCCUGAUUCCCUGGAACUGUUUUGGGCAUGGGACCAUUUGCAUGGUCGGUCAACAUUAUGACUUACAUGGAAAUCCGAACCUCUGAACCGAUCUGGGAGAUUUUUGGAUAUGUUGGUCCCCCAGAUUAAGGCUAUCAGGGAAUGUAACU